ensembl:lncRNA
CUUGGGGAGAAAAAGGAAAAAAAUAAAAUCUUAAAAAAAAAAAGGGCACUGGCCUGACCAAAUAAAACAUCUCUGUGGGAUGUGGCCUGUGGAUCAGGGGUCAGUUUGCCCCUCCUGGACUUAAAGAUCCUCAAGCCUUUGACUUCUGGGUUCUGUAAUGUUGUAUGUGGAAAUAAUGCACUUUUAUGUAUUAAGAGCCAAAUACUUGUGUUAACCUUUGUGGUAGGAGGCGGAAGCAUUGCCUAGAAGUAUAAAAUAUGGUCUCCAUCCUCCAGGAACUCAAAAUUAUUUUUAAACAAGAUGUGAGCAUACAAAGACAACUAACAAUGCCUGGCAAAAUUAUUUAAGGCCUAGAGCCACUCAGAGGAAGCUAACUUUUAUCUGGGUUGGUCCACAAAGAGACACCGCAUAGGAAAGACUUGAUUUGGGCUUAAAAGGAUAAACAACAUUGAGAUAAAUGGAGAGUAGAGUUGUCAGGUGGUGAGAACAGCACCAAAAAAUAAUGGCCAAGAGUUGGGGCAGGCAGGAGGUCCUUGGAUCCUUGUGAAAAAUCUCCCAACUUCUUCCCCAGACCCUAAAACUGGCUUCCUGUCACUCAUUCUGUUCAGAGCCUGGGUCCCACUCCUCCUCAGCCUCCACUUUCUCUCUCACCGAGAACUAGAAGCUUUUCCUGGGGCCCCAGUUCUCCUAGCUGGGCCCCACCACCUGUGGUCAGAGCACGUUGAGCUCCCUUCUAUUGCCUGCUCCACAUUCCAGCCCCGCUGCCUGUUUGCAGACUUAUCAACAGGCUACUAAUCAGCCGCCUCUAGGACAAUUACUCCUGAUGCUGAACCAACAAGGCAAAUGAAGUCAAUUUUCAAGUGAAGAGAGUUAUUCUAAAAACCUGAAGAUUGAGUCUUAUCAUGGCGAUCAUUUCAUAGUGUACAUAAAUGUCAAAUCACUGUGUUGUAUGUCUGAAACUAACACAAUAUUGUAUCUCAAUUACUCUUCAAUUUAAAAAAAGUGAGAAAGCAGAAACUCUUCAGAACUUGGAUUUGUCUUUGCAACUAUGUGGUAUUUGUCGCCCACGCGGUGGUGUCCUAAUUGCCAUCAGUGGCUGACAGUGACUUAGGCACACAAGGUGCCAACAUCUGUGCUGAGCUCAGGACUCGCAUGCCCUCACCUGCCUCCUCACUACAGCCGCUAAGGAGGGUCAUCUUUGGUGAUGAGUAAACUGAAGCUCAGAGUCCAAAGUCAUACACUCAGCGAGGGGCACAGUUUCAAACCCCCAUUUCUCGUAAACCAACUACAACCACUAACUAUCACACAGCGCUACUUCAUGCUCCUGCACCAUUCCCGUGGAUGUGGGAAAACACACUCACUGCCCAGAGGCAUCUGCUGCUCUACCCUGUGACGUCAGAUCCCCCACCUCCCAAAAAAGCACUCAUUUGGUGUGUGAAUUCCUAUCUCCUCCUCUUCAAAUAGGCAGCAUUCUCCCCACAUUAGAAUCACCUGGCGCACUUUAAAAAAGCACUAAUGCCUCAGACCCUAGAGAUUCAGAUUUAAUUCAGACACUGUUAGCUGUGAGAUCUCUGCAGGUGAUCCUAAUGGUUGAGAGCACAGGCAGUGAAUAGUGGUUGAGAGUAAGGGGUUGCGAUCUGGUUUCUGUAACCAUGAGCCAGUGACGGCAGCUGAGUGAGCCGUUGUUUUCUCACCUGUAAAAUGGGAAUUCCAGAAGUGUGUACUUUUUAGGGCUGAUAUGAGGAUUAGGUUAGACAGAAAAAAUGAUAUGUGAUGAUGGUGAGGUCCCUGGUCCUACCUCUAAAAGCCUCAUUGAUCCAUAAGGAGACUGAAGUUUAUAGUUUCUCAGGCAAAUACACCACUGGUCCCAUGAGAAAAUGUAUUCUUCCUGUUUUCCACUCGGAUCUGCUGACACUACAGGGUAGAGGAGGGGGCUGGGCAGGCGCUCCAGGCAGAUGCCUUUCAGAGUCAGACCACUAACCCACGGGUGUGAAGUGACUGGGAUAAUGCUGUUAGGAGUGCUGAAAUCAGAGUGACUUGGAGAGAAGAUGCCCCAGGAGGGGCGCUGGAGUUAAUUAAAAACAACUACAGCUAUUCCUGAUAAUAUGGCACUGGCCAAACAGAUCCAUCUGUGCCCAUUUGCAGCAGGUGGGGCGUCAGUUUGCACCCCCGGGAGCUGCACCUACAGCUUUACCGAGCCAGGCCAGUGGCUCUCACUGCUUCACACAGGAGAGCUGAGAGAGGCCGCUUCCCUUCCAUCAGAAGCCGAGGGUUUCAAGGACAUUGGCCGUGAGAGUGAAGGGGUCUGCAGACCACAUCUAGACUUGUCAGAAGCAGAAGGGCAGCUAGUGGUUAAAAGUUCCCAUCUGUUAUUAUGAACAGACAGCCCAGCUCUGCCUCAGACUGGCUGUGCUGCCUUAAUUCACCUCUCUGAGCCAAUUCCCUCCCCUGUAAGAUGUGGAUAAGUUAUCCACCCUUUGAAGUUGUUGUAAGGAUUAAAAGAACAACAAAUGGGAGCCAGCCCUGUGGUGUAGUGGUUGAGUUCAGUGUACUCUGCUUCAGUGGCUGUGUUUGCAGGUUCGGAUCCUGGGCUGGACCUACACCACUCAUCAGACAUGCUGCGGUGGCAACCCACAUAUAAAGUGGAGGAAGGUUGGUGCAGAUGUUAGCUCAGGGCUAAUCUUCCUUAGCAAAAAAAAAAAGAACACUGAAUGUAGAGCACAGUGCCUCCACUCUUAGCACUCCGGAUAUGUCUGCUUUUGUUUGAUUUUGCUAUUCAACAAAGAAGAGCCUCAAGCACUGUCUGUCCCUGUGCCCUGGAAAACCAGUGACACUAGAGCUCGACAGUUCAUCUAAUCCAUUACCUCAUUUGGACCCACAGUCACAAGCACUGAGAAUCGAGUUUGAAAGAGAUAGUGAGAGGUGAGAUAAAGGGUGUAAAAUGACAAGAAAGGUUGAGGGCGUGUUUCUGGUUUGUUCUCAGGGAGCAUGGGGCUGAUGGCUUGCUGCGUGGGGCACAGAGAGGUGACACGGGGCUCUCCCUAUAUUGCUGGGCUGCAAGAGGGCCCAUUGAUCACUGGGCAGCGUCCGACCCAGUUAAUAGCGCAGAAAAUGAUGAUGUACUUGGGCCAGGAAAGAAGGACUUUCUGGAUUUUUCUGGGCACGGCCACUGUCAGUGUUUCUGAGAAGAAGGAUCCGGCAUGUGGUUCAUCUCACCUUGGCGUUUGCCAUAAAGGAGUCAGGGAAAACAAAAGGCCUCACAAGACAGUCACGUGGCCGUGGUUCAUCCCAUGACAGGCCCAAGUUUGAGGGGAGAGGGGCCCUGGAAGCCUGGACUGGUCCUAGAUCAACUUUGGUCCUUGGGCCUUAGGGAGCAAACGUCAUUAAUCCAUUAACCCAGUUUUCAGCUGGCAAACCCUCUCUCCACUCUCAGUCUCUGUGCUUUGGAUGAAACUAACUUUAUCGCUGUCUCCAGGGAAUCGGUGUGGUAUUGAAGCCUGGCCAAUCAGAGCAUCACAUUCUUCAACCCAGUGAUAGGUUCAGAAAUGGGCGUGUGACCCUAUCAGAGCCAAAGAGGUACAACGAAAAUCUGUUUUUAAUGACUUUCUUGAGCUAUAACUUACAUACCAUAACAUUCAUGCUUUUGGAGUAUACAAUUCGAUGAUUUUUGGUAAAUUUACAGUGUAACGAUCAGAGCAACUUGGUUCGAGAACAUUUCCGUAAUUCCAAAAAGAUUCCUCAUGCCCAUUUGCAGACAUAAGGAGACUUUAGCUGAGGAGUUGGGAGAGAUUCCCACAUUCCUUUCGGCUGGACCUGUUUACAGUAAUGACAACAAAAGCCUGGAGCUACAAGGCGCCAUCACAUAGAACCUGAGAAUGAAGCAAUAACUGCAGAAAGGGGAACCAAUAGAUGGAGAGAAUCUGAGUCCUGAGGUCAUUGGCUGAGAUGCUGAUCAAGCUGAACCUGAAGCCGGUGCUUCCCCUGGACUUUCAGGUACAUGAGCCAAGAAUUUCCCUUUAGUCUGAAGCCAGUUUGACUUGGGAUUUUUUCCAUCUCUUGCAGUGGGAAGAAUCCUAAGUGACUCCAAAAAUUAUUGACCAGACGCUAAGGACUAAAGUGGAAACCUUUAUUAAUUAGAUAUGCAGAUAAAAAGGCCCAUCUUCAGAUCUGUUGUCAUUAGAGAAUUAUUUUAUACAUGGCCACAGAGCCAUUUUACAAAUGAGGAUUCAGCCUUGCCGAGGUAAACUGCUUAACCAGGAUACAUAGCAGAAUCUGAGUAAGUCCUUGGCUCUGUGUAACCCUGAAUUUGAUCCUUUCUUCCUCAAAUCAUCAUACCUUUUAUAAGAUAUUUAAUAUGUGAAAGAUCUUAUUCUAAGUAUUUUGCAAAUAAUAACUCACUUAAUCUUCACAACUAUCCUAUGGGUAGGUACUGUUUAUUAUUCCCAUUUUACAGAUGAGGAAACUGAGGUGUAAAGAGAUUAACUUGUCCAAGGUCACACAGCUUGUAAGUAACAGAGGCAAGACUUGGACACAGGCACAUUGGCUGCAGAGGCCAUGCUCUUAACCCGUGCACUGGACUGCCUCUAGUAAAUUUUUUUUAUUUUGAGGGAGAUUAGCCCUGAGCUAACAUCUGCUGCCAAACCUCCUCUUUUUUUUUGCUGAGGAAAACUGGCCUUGAGCUAACAUCCACGCCCAUAUUCCUCUACUUUAUAUGUGGAUGCCUGCCACAGCAUGGCUUGACAAGCGGUGCGUAGGUCCACACCAGGAUCCAAAACAGCAGACCCUGUGCUGCCAAAGUGGAAGGUGCGAACUUAACUGCUGUGCCGCUGGGCCAGCCCCAACCUCUAGUAAAUUAAAAUUAACCUAACCUCAGCCUUUGAUCAGAAUUCCAUUGGUCUUUCAUUCAGAGGCACUGCCCUUUUCUGAACUUUUAUUCAUUAUAAAAAUAAAAAGCAAACAAAAACCGCAAAUAUUUUCUAUAUUCUAUAAGCUCUUCAGUUAUUUAAGAAUUUUUAUCCAGCUAAUUUCAGAGUCAUAAACUUUUGAGCUUCUUACAGCUCUCGUUUGCCCUUCUCAAUACACAGUGCAAGUAAGGGCUACUGGCAGCAAAGGUCUUAUUUUAUGCCUUCCUGUGAUGGAAAAACUAGGUGAGUGCUCUGCCAUGUUAAUUUUUAACUGAUAUUUAAUGAUAUAGUAAUUGAUAUUUAAUAUUAUAAUCUAGUAUGAAAUUUUACAUUUCAUAUCAGUCAACUAACAAAAAACAUGAAAGACCUGGAAUUUAAUAGCCCACUUAUAGAAACAAAAUAUACGCAUAUUAAAAGUAACAUAAAUCAGUGUUCUCUGAUUUCUUUUCUUUUCUUUUUUUUUGGUGAGGAAGAUUGGCCCUGAGCUAACAUCUGUGCCAACCCUCCUCUAUGUUUUAUGAGGGCCACUGCUACAGCGUGGCUUGACCAGGGUUGUAUAGGUCUGCACCUGGGAUCCGGAUCGUGGAUCCCAGGCCAAUGAGGCAGAGUGAGUGAACUCAACCACUAUGCCACCGGGCCGGCCCCUUCUCUGAUUUCUUGAAAUCACGAGACGUGUGAACUGCUUCAGAAGCUCUGAAAUGCGUCUUGAAUGUAACCUCCUGUAUUCUUCUACAUUUUCGCAUAUACUAUCUGAGUUGAUCCUUUCCUAAGCCGUGUGGUUGGGCAGGGAUUAUCAGGUGAAUAGACACUGUCGUUUUUAAGGCAGUACCAUGCAAAGCCUUCAUUUCUAUGUGGGAGAGUGACACGGUCUUUUAGAAAGUCAGCUGGCGGAUGCAUCUAGGAUGGUUGUGGGGGGGAUUGUAGACAGGGAGAGCCGUUUAGGAGGCUGCUCUUGCAAAUAUGUUAAAUAUAUUUCCUCUAUAAAUAUAGGGAGUCUCUACCACCUGGACUGAAGACUGACUUGGAUCUCGGGGCCAACAGAACUUUGUUCCAAGUUCCAAGGCCAUCGUUGGAAUCAGUGGGUCAUCAACAGCGCACUAGAGGGCACUGAGCUAAAGGUCCCUGCACAUAUGGAAGCGCACAGGGGCACGGUUUGGGAUUAUUGGGAGAAUGCAUGAGUCAAUGGCUACGGAAAAUGCUGCACACCUACUCUGUGAAGAGGGAAGCGCCAAGAACAACUGCCACUUUCAUUUGGGGUCAGGAUUCUUGAUUCCUGCUGUCUGUUGACGUCUAUAAUCUUGGUGUUAUGCUUACAAGGGAGAGCCUCAAGCAGUAUUAAGUAUAUUAUUUUAAGAAUGAUGUGGCUUCUGGCAUCAUAUUUUGAAAAUCAAAGAUUGUAAUUUUAGGGAUAAUGGAAUACUCAAAAGGGAGUAUUCUGUAAAACUGAGGGCGUAUGGUCAGCAGAGAGAUAUUCUUUACAAAUACUGGACUACGAAUUAGGAGACGACCUCAAGUCCCUCCUCCGUCAGUGAUCUUGAGCCAUUGUGGCAACACAUUCUGGGCCUUGUUCCCCCCCCAUCUGUAAAAUGGGGGUGUUUGACUCAUUGUUUCUUAACUGGGGUGAAUUCUGGAGUCACCUGGGAAGAUCCCCAAAGGCAGAAUUCUGGUUUUGUUUCUUGUUGUGUUUCUAAGGCAUAGAAAAGUACUUGGCACAGGGUAAAUACUCAAUAAAUAUUUUUUUAAUGAAGAAAUAAAACUUUUAAAAAAUUCACAGAGCAGGAUCCAGUCCAGAAUGCUCACAUCGUAUGGGCUAGAAACUGUACAUACAUUUUGUAAAAGCCCUCUGGAUCAUUUUGCCAAGCACUCUGGGCUUAAGAACCACUAAACCCAACAAUCCCCAAGGUUCCUUCCCUGAAGAAUUGUCAGAUUUAGCAAAGAAAAAUGUAAGACAUCCAGUUAAAUUUGAAUUUCAGAUAAACAAUGAAAAUGUUUUAGUGUAAAUAUGUACCAUGCUCUAUUUGGUUGUCGCAAAACUUGUAGAAAGAUGACUAGGUAAGGCUUCUGCUUAGGCUGAUGGUUAGAGGCAGAGGGUGGCACCUUGAAACUGGCCCAGAUUUGGGAAUCAGACAGAUAAUCUUGGUCUGAGUCUCUGCCCUGAUUGUGUGAUCUGAACAAAUUGCUCAACUUCACUGGGCUUCGUAACUCGAGUGUCUAUCCUGUAGAGCUGCUGAAAGUAUUGGAGAUAUUACAGGAAUGAUGGUAGCAGGUAUCUGAUAACGUUUAGCUGUUUUUACUGUUGGUUUGAAGAAAGAAACUCAGUAUCAAUGAGACCUUUGUUGAAACACUGUCAACUAGCAAACUGGCAUUCUGAAAUGACCAAGAUUAUAGAUAAUAGUUCUGGGCAGACCUGGGCAAAGUUAGAGGGAACGCUGAUCUUCUUUAGAACAAUACCUCUAUGUGUGGGGGAACAAAACAUACUAAAAAUUAAUAGAUUAUCCAGAAUAAAUAAAGGAAGGAAGUUCUUUCGUUUCAUUCAUUAUAAAAUGUCAUUUGCUCAACUGACUUUUUCUAAUGUCAAAGGUAAACAUUUGUUCAGGUUUUACAGGGUCACUAUACAGAGGGAUAGACUAUUAUUUGGGCAGUGGAAGUACUUCAAUCCUAACCUUGUUUCCCUCUCUUCUAGGUUAAAGACACAGUCUGUUUCUAGAGCUUCUGUUGUUUCUAGAAAUUUCUAACGCAUUUCUUCUGUUUAAAAAAUACACAUGCAACAAAUAUGAAAUAUUCAUUAAAAGGAAACGGUUCUCUCUAGAAAAAUCUAUUUGGACAAAAAUCUUUAGAUAAUUUCAUUAUCAAAUGUGAAGAGCUACGGGUGGAAAAUAAAUUGACCAUUACAUUUUCAACUGAGCUACUCGGAUAUCAACUGCAUACUUUAAGCCCCCUGUUGUUAUUUUGUUGUCUAUCCACCACAUAUUUAUUGUUGAGCCUGUAUUAUAUACUGGAGACUGUUCUAAGUGCUUGGGAUCCUUAGUGAACAAAACAGACCCAAAUCCUUGCCUCUGUGGAGCUUGUCUUCUGGGAUAGAGAGAGAAACAGAAGCAUCCUAGAUAAGUGAGUUAAGUAGGAUACAGAUGGCGCAAUCUGUUGGUGAUGGAAGGAGCCAUGCUGAUCUGGGGGAUGAGAACAGGGGCGUCAAGCACAAAUGACCUAAGGCAGGAGCCUGCCUGGAGUGUUCCAAGAAUAGCAAGGAGGCCAAUGUGGCUGCAGUGGAGAGAGGACAGAGGGAGUAGGAGGAGAGAAGACCAAGUAACUAUUAUCCUAAUCAUGAUAAAGGACUCCACGAAUCUAACUUCCAGUUUUGAGUUUUAGUUUACUUACUCUGUGACUACAGGGAGAUCCUGAACUGCUUACCUGGAAUGGUGGUCCUUAACUUGUAAAACAUGGGUAGGUUAGAGAUUUACUUCACAAAACUAUGACUAGAGGGAAUCAGUAUAUAGCUUAGUGAUGAUGUAUGUGCUUUAAUGGAUGGAUCUGAGUUCACAGUCUGACUUCCUUACUUGCUAGAGGUGUGCCCUUGGGCAAGUUCCUUCAACUCUCUGUGCUUCAAGUUCCAUCUCUAUGAAAUAAGGCAACUAAAAGUACCCCCUUUCAAACUGUGAGGGUUAGAGGAGAGGGUCUGUGUAAAAUGCUUAGCACAGAGCUUGGCACAUAGAAAGUACUAAAUAAAUAUCAUCAUUAUUUCUUGAAAAGUAUAAUUAGGAGGAUUAGGUACUCUGAAAUAUCUAUUUAAUAUUUAAUAUCAAAACAUGUUUUCAGUAAAAAUGUCUUAUUAUUGUUAUUACUAGUGGUAGCGAGCCUCCAAGAUGAUCCCCAAUGAUCCCUGUCUCUGAGUAUUCACACCCUUGUAUAGUCCCCUCCCACAUUGUACCAGGAUUGGUCUAUGUGACCAUAGAAUAUGGCAGAAGUGAUGGUAUGUCACUUUUGAGAUUAAGUUAUAAAAGACAUUGUGGCUACCAUCUUAGUCAUUCAUUCUCUCUCUCAAUCAUCACUUGUUCUGGGGGAAGCCAGCUGCCAUGUCAUGAGCAGCCCUAGGGAGAGGUAUCCCUUAUGGAGAAGUCCACGUGACAAAGAACUGAGGCUUUUUGCCAACACCAUGUGCGUUAGGGCCUUCUUGGAAGUGAACCCACUAGCCUUGGUCAAGUCUUCAGAUGAAAGCAGCCCUCACUGACGUCUCGACUGCCGCUUCAUGAGACCCUGAGGCAGAACUAUGCAGCUAAGCAGAUCCCAGAUUCCUGCCCCUCAGAAACUGAGAUGAUAAAUGUUUGUUGUCUCAAACUUCUAAGUUUUGGGGUAAUU